ensembl:lncRNA
AUUCAACUGCCUAAUGCUCCAGCCACUGGGAGGCCUCCAGUGGCAGACUCUGAACCCCUGAUGUCCACCACCUCCCUCUCCUCUCCUCUCAUCCACCCCUGCAACUCCUCCAUCCCAUGAUGUAGCAGAGUUCCAGUCACUCAGGAAAAAGGAGACCAAGAGCUGCCUAAGGAAGAGACCACUUAAACAUGUGCAGCAUUUUUUAAAAGCAAAAUUUCUAAAAGAUCGGGGCCUACCGUAAUUCUUCAUAUUACAUUUGUUGAACAAGUUCCAUCCCAGUCGAGAAUGAGGAGCAAAAAAUUCACAGGAGCCGGGAAAGAAAGCGUGAGGAUGGGCGUGGAGUAAUACGCCAGCUCUUCCUGGACAAGCCACCGUCUGAGGAAGAGAUGGCAAAGAGGAAGAGAGACUGUUCCUUCACCCCCACCUUUCUCCUGGCUUUCCAGCUCCUCCCAAAUGUCCGAGGUGAUGAUGAAGCCGGUGAGGCAUCCUGGAAGGAGGAGAAAGUGUGUGUCCUGUGUUUCUGUGCUUCGUAAGGCAGUCGGGUCAGCCAAGAGAUCAGGCCCUAUAGCCAUGGCCAUUGUGAGGAGCUCACAGCUUUCAGAGCAGAGAACAUAAUUUUUAAAAAUAGACGUUGUUUCUGCCUCAAAGAAUACCUUUCCUUGUUCUAAAGCAGCGAUUUCCAAACUUUAUUAUCAUAAAUUCCUAUCAGUAAAAUAAAAAUAAAAUUGAGGACAUACUA